CUGGCAGGCUGGAUGCUGGGGAUCUCAGCGGGGUGAGAUCAGACAGAGCGUUGGGAGACAGAGCAAGAGAGCUCGGGAGCUCGAGUCAAGAAGACCAAUAUGAGAGGUGGAGUGGGAAAUACAGAAGCAGAAGGCCCUGAAAGAAGCCCAGCCGAGUCCCACCCAGCCAAGAGUCUGUGGCAGCAGGACCGUCUGGAUCAGAGGAGACUCAGUUGACAUGCCUCUCAGGCCAGAGCCCUGAGCCAGCGGGUGCAGGAAGAGGCCCCAUCAGGAAUAGAAAAGCAUGGUCUUGUUCUCAGCAAGUAUGAGCAGUGUCCUCUCUGUCUCUCUCCUCACCAACCAGACUGGAAGUUCCUCGAGGACAGGGCCAGGCUUCGUUUGUACGGUAUGUCUGACCAGCUGCAAUGAGGACACUCUGCUGGUCAUAACCAACCCCUGUCACACCAAAAGAAGACUGGAACCCAUGUGGUUUGGGGAUAGGCAGCUCCUACAGUAUCCCAGAAGGUCCGAUUCACCUCUUCCACACUCUGCUGUGUGGCUGGGGUGAAAGCUUCCUGGACUCCUGCUCUUGCAUUUCUUCCCUGGUCCAGCAGAGCCAAGUGAUUGAGCAACAUGACCCUUGCCCAUAUGGACUCCAUAGACCUCCAUAGACCACUUAUUGCAACAGCUUUCAAAGGAACAUGGAACAGACACACGGCAUGUGGAUCUUUCCCCAGUAGACUACAAUGUCAAUAAUAAAGAGGAUAUUGGUUGUGGCAUUAGAAUUCAGCUUCCCAGAAGGCUGCCCUGAGCACAGUCCACAGUUGACUCAAUUUCAAUUUUAAUUUCCUGCACCUUUUAUAUCUCUAUGUUCCUUUUGUACACUCUGGAAUAAUAAAUCCCAAUCAAC